GUAGACGCUAUACUCUAAGAUUAACCCAUGCAUGUUUAUUGAAUAUAAAGGAAAGACGAACAGCUCAGUAACUCUUAUUUGAUUUGAUGUAUUAGGAUUCUAACUAUGUUAAAUUAUAGAUAACAAUAAUACAAUAAGAAUAAGAUCUAUCAGUUAGUUGUUAAGGUAAUGGCUUAACAAGACUAUGACGGAUAACGGUAUUACUUUGUAAUAUUCCGGAGAAGGAGCCUGAGAGAUUGCUACUAAGUCUAAGGAUUGCAGCAGGGGCGAAACUUGACCUAUGAUAUUAUAUUGAGGUAGUUAUGAGUAGUAUUUUAUAAUUAUUGUAGUAUUGUAAGUACAUAUUACAAGAUAAAUCGGAGGGCAAAUCGAGUGCCAGCAGCCGUGGUAAUACUUGUUCCGAUAGUGUGUAUGAUGAUUGAUGCAGUUAAAAAGUCUGUAGUUUAUUUUAUAAUAAGCAUUGUAAGGUAUACUGUAUGGUUAGGAGAGAGAUGAAAUGUGAUAACCCUAACUGGAUGAACAGAAGCGAAAGCUGUAUACUUAAAUGUAUUAUUAGAACAAGGACGUAAGCUAGAGGAUCGAAGAUGAUUAGAUACCAUUGUAGUUCUAGCAGUAAACUAUGUUGAAUCAUAGAUAUAUUUUGAUAUAUAUUUAUGUAGAGAAAUUAAGAUUAUAUUGACUCUGGGGAUAGUAUGAUCGCAAGAUUGAAAAUUAAAGAAAUUGACGGAAGAAUACCACAAGGAGUGGAUUGUGCGGCUUAAUUUGACUCAACGCGGGGUAAUUUACCAGGUAUAACAUGGUAUAAUAUUUUAUCAUGAUAGUGGUGCAUGGCCGUUUCCAAUGGAUGCUGUGAAGUAAUGAUUAAUUUCAACAAGAUGUGAGACCCUCAUAUAGACAGAUGUAGUGAUACAUAUGAAGGAGAGGAUUAAAACAGGUCCGUUAUGCCCUAAGAUAAUCUGGGUUGCACGCGCAAUACAAUAAUAUUUGAUAUUAUAAGGGAUAAUAUAAUGUAAGAUAUAUUUGAACAUGGAAUUGCUAGUAAAUUUUAUUUAAUAAGUAGAAUUGAAUGAGUCCCUGUUCUUUGUACACACCGCCCGUCGCUAUCUAAGAUGGUAUUAUCUAUGAACAAAUUUAUAAAGUGAAUAGAUAGUACUAGAUCUGAUAU
rnacentral:rRNA from 1 species